UUUCCCCCACCUCCCUCAUCUCUCUCAUCCUUUGAAGAAGCCGCCGCCGGAAAUUGCCUUAUGGCGGCGGCGCCACUCCAAACCACUUCAAAUUGACAACCCAUAAUCUCCAACUCCUCCUCAAUCUAAACCCCUUACCAUUUUCUCCUAAAUCUUCACCAAAAUCAGCAUAUUAUAGAUCUAAAAUUCCAUAAAAAUUGAUUUUUGUCUGCUCUCUGAUUCUUCAUGAUUUACCAUGCGUUUUGGCUCGAAACUCACAUGAAUCAAUUGCUCUUAAUGAGAGCAAUCGAUUUACGUUAGCUUCGAUUCAUUUCGAAGCCACAGAAUCCGUUUGAGUUUUGUUGGUCGGCCCGUUUUUCUUCCAAAUCAUUUUCAGUCGUGUAGUGCCCGCAGGAUAUAGAGGGCUGCUGCUGCUGAUCGCAUGGCUAUAGUUUGAGAAUUUGGCCACUAACUGGCCAGAUUAGUAAAACUCUAAAGCUAAAGAAUUGGAUUUUGAAGAUAUAUUUAAAAGUUUAUUGUUUCUAAUUUCAAGUGAAUGUUGAAGCCAACAAUGCACUAUUAGGGUGUAUUUGGAUCCAAGAAAGGUUGUAAUUUAUUAUGACAGUUAUAUAUAUAAUAUAGGAUUACUGUGUCAAUGAUGUUAUUUGAAUCAUGUACUGUGCCACUAUUAUGUAAAGCAAGGCAGAUUUUAUCA